rnacentral:rRNA from 1 species
UACGGGGGGGGCAAGCGUUGUUCGGAAUUACUGGGCGUAAAGGGUCUGUAGGUGGCCAACUAAGUCGAACGUGAAAUCCCCAGGCUCAACCUGGGAACUGCGUCCGAUACUGGCGGGCUUGAAUCCGGGAGAGGGAUGCGGAAUUCCAGGUGUAGCGGUGAAAUGCGUAGAUAUCUGGAGGAACACCGGUGGCGAAGGCGGCAUCCUGGACCGGUAUUGACGCUGAUGCGCGAAAGCCAGGGGAGCAAACGGG